GACAGAGGAUGCAAGUGUUAUCCGGAAUCACUGGGCGUAAAGCGUCUGUAGGUGGUUUAAUAAGUCAACUGUUAAAUCUUGAGGCUCAACUUCAAAAUCGCAGUCGAAACUAUUAGACUAGAGUAUAGUAGGGGUAAAGGGAAUUUCCAGUGGAGCGGUGAAAUGCGUAGAGAUUGGAAAGAACACCAAUGGCGAAAGCACUUUACUGGGCUAUCACUGACACUGAGAGACGAAGGCUAGGGUAGCAAAUGGG
rnacentral:rRNA from 1 species